UAGGGAAUAUUGGACAAUGGGUGCGAGCCUGAUCCAGCCAUGCCGCGUGCAGGAAGAAGGCGUUAUGCGUUGUAAACUGCUUUUGCCAGGGGAUAAAAUAACUGUGCGCAGUUGAUUGAAGGUACCUGGUGAAUAAGCCACGGCUAACUACGUGCCAGCAGCCGCGGUAAUACGUAGGUGGCAAGCGUUGUCCGGAUUUAUUGGGUUUAAAGGGUGCGUAGGCGGCCCUGUAAGUCAGUGGUGAAAUAUCUCAGCUUAACUGAGAGGGUGCCAUUGAUACUGCGGGGCUUGAGUACAGAUGAGGUAGGCGGAAUUGACGGUGUAGCGGUGAAAUGCAUAGAUAUCGUCAAGAACACCGAUAGCGAAGGCAGCUUACCAAGCUGUAACUGACGCUGAGGCAAC
rnacentral:rRNA from 1 species